UUUUCUUUUUAAAAAAAAAAAUCGAGUAAUAAAUAUUUAACUUACAACAUAGCGAAAGUCUCAUUCUUUGUCAAAACUUAGUCCAGCCCANCAGCCCAAAGCCACAGGUUAAAUCAUAAUCCCUGGCUGUAUUCCUACACGGCUAAUUUCCACCAGCACUAACAUUCUGAACAGCUUGACAUUGAAAAUGAAAGUACAAGAUCAUGUAUUCAGCAUCCACCAUGACUAAAAGAAAAAAUAUAUUUAUAUUGACAAAGUCCAAUGAUUAUUCUACUUUUUUAAGAAACUUCAGUUCACAAAGCCUUCGCAUCUUGUUGACCGCACUGAAAGACUCAAGGGGCAACCCCAGUUCUCCAUGGCCACAAUCCUUGACUUAGUAUGGCCUAUACCUCCAAUCUGCCCUUGAAGGUCUAGCACUACCCAGUCCAUAACCCCAAUCAUCAAAAUCCAGGCUUCCAUACAUCCUACCAAAGUUGCGCAAAGGACCACCAUAACCCCCAAAAGGUGGAGCAGUAUUCAUCAUGAAAUUUCCACUUGGGCCAGCAU
rnacentral:misc_RNA from 1 species